rnacentral:rRNA from 1 species
UGGGGAAUAUUGCGCAAUGGGCGAAAGCCUGACGCAGCGACGCCGCGUGGGGGAUGAAGGCCUUCGGGUUGUAAACCUCUUUCACCACCGACGAAGCGAACGUGACGGUAGGUGGGGAAGAAGCGCCGGCUAACUACGUGCCAGCAGCCGCGGUAAUACGUAGGGCGCAAGCGUUGUCCGGAAUUAUUGGGCGUAAAGAGCUCGUAGGCGGUCUGUCGCGUCUGCCGUGAAAACCCGAGGCUUAACCUCGGGCUGGCGGUGGAUACGGGCAGACUAGAGGUAGGUAGGGGAGAAUGGAAUUCCCGGUGUAGCGGUGAAAUGCGCAGAUAUCGGGAGGAACACCGGUGGCGAAGGCGGUUCUCUGGGCCUUACCUGACGCUGAGGAGCGAAAGCAUGGGGAGCGAACAGGAUUAGAUACCCGUGUAGUCC